ensembl:ncRNA lncRNA:CR44490 long non-coding RNA:CR44490
UCAAUUAUCAAUAGAAAAAUCGGUUGCCUGCGCUCAGAUGAAAUAUGUUCGCAACGUCAAUUUAUCAUAAUGAAGACAAACGACGAGAAAGGAUGACCUUCAAAAAAUUAUUAUCCAAGUUUUUAAGUUGUGGCACUUGUAAUUGAUGAGCUCAACAUUUCCAGAUUGGCUGGAAAGCGAUUAGCGCAACGAGGGAGUUUUAAAAUGUGCUUUUAACAAACAGGAAUCAAAAUUAAGUAAAAAUAUGAAAUACAUCCGACAUUUUUCG